GGAGAGGGCCAUGGCUCAGUCACAGAGCAUUUGUUUGACAGACAGAAGGUCCCAGGUUCAAUCCCUGGCAUCUCCA
rnacentral:tRNA from 1 species